AGAAAGAAAGAAAGAAAGAAAGAAAGAAAGAAAGAGUGGGUAAGAGACAGGUACAGGAAUAAUGAGAGACAGAGGGAGAAAGAAAGAAAGAAAGAAAGAAAGAAAGAAAGAAAGAAAGAAAGAAAGAAAGAGUGGGUAAGAGACAGGUACAGGAAUAAUGAGAGACAGAGGGAGAAAGAAAGAAAGAAAGAAAGAAAGAAAGAAAGAAAGAAAGAAAGAGAAAGAGAGUUAGAGAAAGAGAAAGAAAGAGUGAGAAGAGAAGAGAGAGAGAGAUAGAUAGGGAAAGAAAGAAAGAAAGAAAGAA